GACGAACGCUGGCGGCGGGCUUAACACAUGCAAGUCGAACGGAAAGGCCCUGCUUGUGUGGGGUUCUCGCGUGGCGAAGGGGAGAGUAACACGUGAGUCACCUGGCCUGGACUUGGUGAUAACUUCAGGAAACUGGUGCUAAUACCGGAUACGAGCUCCUGCUGCAUGGUGGGGUUUGGAACGUUUCGGCGGUUGGGGAUGGACUCGCGGCUUAUCAGCUUGUUGGGCGGGUAGUUGCUUACCAAGGCUUUGACGGAUAGCCGGCCUGAGAGGGUGAACGGCCACCUUGGGACUGAGGUACGGACCAGACUCCUACGGGAGGCAGCAGUGGAGAAUAUUGCCCAAUGGGCGGGCGCCUGAUGCAGAAGCGCCGCGUGCGGGAUGCAGGCCUUCGGGUUGUAAACCGCUUUAGCCUGUGACGAAGCGUGAGUGACGUUAAUGGGUAAAGAAGCACCGGCUAACUACGUG
rnacentral:rRNA from 1 species